rnacentral:rRNA from 1 species
UACAGAGGGUGCAAGCGUUAAUCGGAAUUACUGGGCGUAAAGCGUGCGUAGACGGUUGCGUAAGUCAGAUGUGAAAGCCCCGGGCUCAACCUGGGAAUUGCAUUUGAGACUGCGUAGCUAGGGUGCGGAAGAGGGAAGCGGAAUUUCCGGUGUAGCGGUGAAAUGCGUAGAUAUCGGAAGGAACACCAGUGGCGAAAGCGGCUUCCUGGACCGACACUGACACUGAGGAGCGAAAGCCAGGGGAGCAAACGGG